UAUUAGGGAAGAACAAAUGUGUAAGUAACUAUGCACGUCUUGACGGUACCUAAUCAGAAAGCCACGGCUAACUACGUGCCAGCAGCCGCGGUAAUACGUAGGUGGCAAGCGUUAUCCGGAAUUAUUGGGCGUAAAGCGCGCGUAGGCGGUUUUUUAAGUCUGAUGUGAAAGCCCACGGCUCAACCGUGGAGGGUCAUUGGAAACUGGAAAACUUGAGUGCAGAAGAGGAAAGUGGAAUUCCAUGUGUAGCGGUGAAAUGCGCAGAGAUAUGGAGGAACACCAGUGGCGAAGGCGACUUUCUGGUCUGUAACUGACGCUGAUGUGCGAAAGCGUGGGGAUCAAACAGGAUUAGAUACCCUGGUAGUCCACGCCGUAAACGAUGAGUGCUAAGUGUUAGGGGGUUUCCGCCCCUUAGUGCUGCAGCUAACGCAUUAAGCACUCCGCCUGGGGAGUACGACCGCAAGGUUGAAACUCAAAGGAAUUUGACGGGGACCCGCACAAGCGGUGGAGCAUGUGGUUUAAUUUCGAAGCAACGCGA
rnacentral:rRNA from 1 species